rnacentral:ncRNA from 1 species
CUCUUAUCAAGAGAGGCAGAGGGACUGGCCCUGCGAAGCCUCAGCAACCACUGGUCUAUUCCAGAAAGGUGCUAACUCCAGCAAGUUGUUUAGACAACUUGGAAGAUAAGAA